GUACUAGCUACACCGGUACAUAUCCUAAAAUUAGAACAAGACAGAGAAGAUUAGUAUGGCCCUGCGCAAGGAUGACACGCAAAUUUGUGAAGGUUUCCAUAUUUUU